rnacentral:rRNA from 1 species
CCUACGGAGUGCAGCAGUGAUGAAUAUUGGUCAAUGGGCGCGAGCCUGAUCCAGCCAAGUAGCGUGAAGGAUGACUGCCCUACGGGUUGUAAACUUCUUUUAUAAAGGAAUAAAGUGAGGCACGUGUGCCUUUUUGUAUGUACUUUAUGAAUAAGGAUCGGCUAACUCAGUGCCAGCAGCCGCGGUAAUACGGAGAAUCCGAGCGUUAUCCGGAUUUAUUGGGUUUAAAGGGAGCGUAGAUGGGUUGUUAAGUCAGGUGUGAAAGUUUGCGGCUCAACCGUAAAAUUGCAAUUGAUACUGGCAGUCGUGAGUACAGUUGAGGGAGGCGGAAUUCGUGGUGUAGCGGUGAAAUGCUUAGAUAUCACGAAGAACUCCGAUUGCGAAGGCAGCUUACUAAACUGCCACUGACAUUGAUGCUCGAAAGUGUGGGUAGCAAACAGGAUUAGAUACCCGUGUAGUC